AUUGAACGCUGGCGGCAGGCCUAACACAUGCAAGUCGAACGAGUGGCGGACGGGUGAGUAAUAUCUGGGAAACUGCCCGAUGGAGGGGGAUAACUACUGGAAACGGUAGCUAAUACCGCAUACCAUCAGAUGGGCCCAUAUGGGAUUAGCUAGUUGGUGGGGUAACGGCUCACCUAGGCGACGCUCCCUAGCUGGUUUGAGAGGCUAACCAGCCACACUGGAACUGAGACACGGUCCAGACUCCUACGGGAGGCAGCAGUGGGGAAUAUUGCACAAUGGGCGCAAGCCUGAUGCAGCCAUUCCGCGUGUAUGAAGAAGGCCUUCGGGUUGUAAAGUACUUUCAGCGGGGAGGCGUUACCCGCAGAAGAAGCACCGGCUAACUCCGUGCCAGCAGCCGCGGUAAUAC
rnacentral:rRNA from 1 species